rnacentral:rRNA from 1 species
UACGUAGGGGGGCUAGCGUUGUCCGGAAUCACUGGGCGUAAAGCGCACGUAGGCGGACUCUUAAGUCGGUGGUGAAAUCCUGGAGCUCAACUCCAGAACUGCCUUCGAUACUGAGAGUCUCGAGUCCGAGAGAGGUGAGUGGAACUGCGAGUGUAGAGGUGAAAUUCGUAGAUAUUCGCAAGAACACCAGUGGCGAAGGCGGCUCACUGGCUCGGUACUGACGCUGAGGUGCGAAAGCGUGGGGAGCAAACAGG